AGUGGAUGGGGAGCAACCUAGUUGUGCGUGUGUAAAGGUAGUGCCAAGAAAAGCGAUGAUCAUGUUGAAAAUCAAUUCCCGGUACCCGAAACCGACACAGGUGGGCAAGUAGAGAAUACUAAGGGGCGCGAGGUAACUCUCUCCAAGGAACUCGGCAAAAUGACCCCGUAACUUAGGGAGAAGGGGUGCCACCGAGAGGUGGUCGCAGUGAAGAGGCCCAGGCGACUGUUUAGCAAAAACAUAGGUCUCUGCAAACUCGAAAGAGGAGGUAUAGGGGCUGACGCCUGCCCAGUGCCGGAAGGUUAAAGAAGUUGGUCAGUUUUAGGAUGAAGCUAGCGACUGAAGCCCCGGUGAACGGCGGCCGUAACUAUAACGGUCCUAAGGUAGCGAAAUUCCUUGUCGGGUAAGUUCCGACCCGCACGAAAGGCGUAACGAUCUGGGCGCUGUCUCGGAGAGAGGCUCGGCGAAAUAGGAUUGUCUGUGAAGAUACGGACUACCUGCAUUUGGACAGAAAGACCCUAUGAAGCUUUACUAUAGCUUGGAAUUGUGUUCGGGCUUCCUGUGCGCAGGAUAGGUGGGAGGCGUAGAAGGUAUUCUUGUGGGGAUACUGGAGCCAACGGUGAGAUACCACUCUCAGGAGGCUAGAAUUCUAACUUAAUUAAGGACAGUUUCAGGUGGGUAGUUUGACUGGGGCGGUCGCCUCCAAAAAGGUAACGGAGGCGUACAAAGGUUCCCUCAGACUGGUUGGAAAUCAGUCGAAGAGUGCAAAGGCAGAAGGGAGCUUGACUGCGAGAAGUACAGUUCGAGCAGGGUGGAAACACGGUCUUAGUGAUCCGACGGUGCUGUGUGGAAGGGCCGUCGCUCAACGGAUAAAAGUUACUCUAGGAUAACAGGCUGAUCUCCCCCAAGAGUUCACAUCGACGGGGAGGUUUGGCACCUCGAUGUCGGCUCAUCGCAACCUGGGGCGGAAGUACGUCCCAAGGGUUGGGCUGUUCGCCCAUUAAAGCGGUACGUGAGCUGGGUUCAGAACGUCGUGAGACAGUUUUGUCCAUAUCCGAUGUAGGCGUGAGAAUAUUGAGAGGAGCCUUCCUUAGUACGAGAGGACCGGGAAGGACGCACCGCUGGUGUACCUGUUAUGAUGCCAAUUGUAAACGCAGGGUAGCCAAGUGCGGAGAGGAUAACCGCUGAAAGCAUCUAAGUGGGAAGCCCACCUCAAGAUGAGUAUUCUGGUGUAAGGUCACGGGAAGACGACCCGUAAAUAGGCACGAGGUGGAAGUGCAGAGAUGUAUGAAGCCGAAGUGUACUAAUAGACCGUCGGCUUGA
rnacentral:rRNA from 1 species